UCCAGACUAACGCGCAAAAUAAUAGCCCAUAUUACGCGUGUGUGUGAGAGCAUACUGGCGUUUAAUUAUUUAUAGAAAUUUGUCCUUACGCUAUUAUAUGUUUAUUAUCGGGGCGGUCAUCUGCACCAUCUUGUCUCUUAGAAACCUCGAAACCAGGGUACCAUAUCCGGGGACGUUCUACAGCCGCAACGAUCUCGUGAACUACCAGAAGAUAAUGGUAUGACACAAAUAAACGCGACUGAACUGAAAGUGACUGUUGGCCAUGUUCCCUGAACGAAAUCUACACCAUGUUAACGCGGAUUAAGUGAGCUUUAUCUCUCCAUAAUUGGAACCUGUGGCAUUGGCGUCUCCCAGCAGAGGUACUCGUAAACAAGUGUUUUGCGCAGACAGCUGGGGAACAAGAUGAGUUGAAGUUUCACUGUCAUUAAAUAUUCAGAAAGGCAUUGUGAAAAAUAAAAGCAGAACCAUGCCUUGCCUCUCCUUCUGGCGUAACGACAGAAAUACGCUGGAAAAGAUUCCGGAGAAGAUGAAUGCAGUCAUAACAGUAUGACGCCUGCACCGUUAAAAACAAAUUUAAACCAGUUUCACCUUUCACCAUCUCAGACUUUGACCGUUGGUUCUUUCGGUGAAUGUAUACGGAAUAUGGAGCUCAGAAU